rnacentral:rRNA from 1 species
GAAAGAGUAUAAAGCUAGGUAGUAAAGGGAGGCCUGAAACUUAAAGAAUUUGGCGGUGUUUUAAUCUUACCAGAGGAACUUGUUUUUUAAUCGAUAUUUCUCGUAAUAUCUUACUUAAACUUGGCUUGUAUAUCGUCGUGGUAAUAAUGUUUGAAGAUUAUUAUUUUAGGUAAUUGUAUUUUUAAUGUCAGAUCAAGGUUCAGCUUAUUUUUAAGACUUAAAUGAGUUACAAUAUAAGGAUAUAUUAUGGAGGGUAUUUUAAAAUGAAUAUUUGAAGGUGGAUUUGGAAGUAAUAGGAAGUUAGUGUGUUUCUUUGAAUUAGUUAUAAAAUAUGC